rnacentral:rRNA from 1 species
CUUGACCUCGGAUCAGGUAGGGAUACCCGCUGAACUUAAGCAUAUCAAUAAGGCGGGAGGA